AAUGAUGAGGACAUCCUCCACUAUUACCCGUUGGUAAAGACGCAAUUGGCCCAGUUGGCCCAAUUGUAGUCGGACGGCGACCGUGUGAGCCUCAGAAUUAUCCCACCUCGCUUAACUUGGGAGGAGGAAGCCACUUUAAAAGGGAGAGCCACCUUUCGCCCAUUGGACUAGUCUUUUGGGGCGAUUGGGCCUUUCCCUGAGUUGGGUGUGCUUAAUGAACUGUUGGGCUCCGGGCAACCCUAAUUUGUUGGGCCUCGGCCAACCCCACCUGGGCUGAGUGUAUCAUCUGGUAACAAAGCUAGGGCCAAUUUUAAGAAGGUGGGAAUGAUGAGGACAUCCUCCACUAUUACCCAUUGGCAAAGACACAAUUGGCCCAGUUGGCCCAAUUGUAGUCGGACGGCGACCGUGUGAGCCUCAGAAUUAUCCCACCUCGCUUAACUUGGGAGGAGGAAGCCACUUUAAAAGGGAGAGCCACCUUUCCCCCAUUGGACUAGUCUUUUGGGGCGAUUGGGCCUUUCCCUGAGUUGGGUGUGCUUAAUGAACUGUUGGGCUCCGGGCAACCCUAAUUUGUUGGGCCUCGGCCAACCCCACCUGGGCUGGGUGUAUCAAAGGGAGCAUGGAGAGGGAGCCGGCGUCCAAGGCGCCACUUGCACAGAGGUGGUCGAGCGCCACGGACGAGCUCGGUGCUCAACCUGCUACCCUCGGCGAGGUCCAAAAAGACAGGGCGUUGGAGGUGGAGAACGCAGUGAGGGAGAGCACGAGUACCAUGGGGGCGAGCUAGUUUCAGCCAUGGGGAAAAGUAGCGAUGGCAUGAGGAGCACGAGUACCAAUUUUUCUAGCCUUCUAAAAUCACAUAGCAUUUAAUAAAAAUAGUUCCAAG
rnacentral:lncRNA from 1 species